rnacentral:rRNA from 1 species
AGUGAGCGCUGGCGGUAGGCCUAACACAUGCAAGUCGAACGGCAGCACAGUAAGAGCUUGCUCUUACGGGUGGCGAGUGGCGGACGGGUGAGGAAUACAUCGGAAUCUACUUUUUCGUGGGGGAUAACGUAGGGAAACUUACGCUAAUACCGCAUACGACCUACGGGUGAAAGCAGGGGAUCUUCGGACCUUGCGCGAUUGAAUGAGCCGAUGUCGGAUUAGCUAGUUGGCGGGGUAAAGGCCCACCAAGGCGACGAUCCGUAGCUGGUCUGAGAGGAUGAUCAGCCACACUGGAACUGAGACACGGUCCAGACUCCUACGGGAGGCAGCAGUGGGGAAUAUUGGACAAUGGGCGCAAGCCUGAUCCAGCCAUACCGCGUGGGUGAAGAAGGCCUUCAGGUUGUAAAGCCCUUUUGUUGGGAAAGAAAAGCAGCAGGUUAAUACCCCGCUGUUCUGACGGUACCCAAAGAAUAAGCACCGGCUAACUUCGUG